rnacentral:rRNA from 1 species
AGAAUCAACGCUGGCGGCGUGCCUAACACAUGCAAGUCGAACGAGAAAGUGGAGCAAUCCAUGAGUAAAGUGGCGACCGGGUGAGUAACACGUGACUAACCUACCUUCGAGUGGGGGAUAACCUCGGGAAACCGAGGCUAAUACCGCAUAACAUCGCAAGAUCAAAGCAGCAAUGCGCUGGAAGAGGGGGUCGCGGCUGAUUAGCUAGUUGGCGGGUAACGCCCACAAGGCGAAGAUCGGUAGCCGGCCUGAGAGGGCGCGCGGCCACACUGGAACUGAAACACGGUCCAGACUCCUACGGGAGGCAGCAGUGGGGAAUUUUGCGCAAUGGGGGAAACCCUGACGCAGCAACGCCGCGUGGAGGAUGAAGCCCCUUGGGGCGUAAACUCCUUUCGACCAAGACGAUAAUGACGGUACUGGUGGAAGAAGCACCGGCUAACUCUGCGCCAGCAGCCGC